GACGAACGCUGGCGGCGUGCUUAACACAUGCAAGUCGAGCGGAAAGACCCUGCUUUUGUGGGGUGCUCGAGUGGCGAACGGGUGAGUAACACGUGAGUAACCUGCCCUUGACUUUGGGAUAACUUCAGGAAACUGGGGCUAAUACCGGAUAGGAGCUCCUGCUGCAUGGUGGGGGUUGGAAAGUUUCGGCGGUUGGGGAUGGACUCGCGGCUUAUCAGCUUGUUGGUGGGGUAGUGGCAUACCAAGGCUUUGACGGGUAGCCGGCCUGAGAGGGUGACCGGCCACAUUGGGACUGAGAUACGGCCCAGACUCCUACGGGAGGCAGCAGUGGGGAAUAUUGCACAAUGGGCGGAAGCCUGAUGCAGCAACGCCGCGUGCGGGAUGACGGCCUUCGGGUUGUAAACCGCUUUCGCCUGUGACGAAGCGUGAGUGACGGUAAUGGGUAAAGAAGCACCGGCUAACUACGUG
rnacentral:rRNA from 1 species